UACGUAGGGGGCAAGCGUUGUCCGGAUUUAUUGGGCGUAAAGAGCGUGUAGGCGGCUUGGUAGGUCCGCUGUGAAAACUCGAGGCUCAACCUCAGGCCUGCAGUCGAUACGAGCAGACUAGAGUGUUGCAGGGGAGACUGGAAUUCCUGGUGUAGCGGUGAAAUGCGUAGAUAUCUGGAGGAACACCGGUGGCGAAGGCGGCAUCCUGGACCGGUAUUGACGCUGAUGCGCGAAAGCCAGGGGAGCAAACGGG
rnacentral:rRNA from 1 species